UGUGUGUGACCAUCGGCGAGUCGGCGUCAAUAAGCAUCUUCGAGCCCAGAUUGCCAGCAAGAUUCUAUUCAUUUGCUCUAGUAUGUUUCAACUCGAAAACUCUUUUCCCAGGUAUCGUCUAAUUAUAUUUAAAACAAUAGAAAACUUUGAUCGAAAAAUAAUAUAUAAACGAUUAUAACUAAAAAGCUCAAUAAUUUUAUUAAGAUGCAUAAUUAUAAAACUUAAAAUAAAUUGUUCUAUAGCAAGAUUCUGAAACACAAAACAUAGAUAUAAAAUGUAAAUAGGGUAUGAAUUAAAAGAAAAAAAGCAUUCAAGUUUGAUCAACUCUCCAUGUCUGAAUUCAUAAUUCUGUGGUAGGAAUCCUGUGACCAAACAAACAUAAGUGGAUAGAAAUUAGUGUAACCUCUUCAUAGUUUUCCGCCAACCACCAAAUACAUAUGCAAAAUAUGUCCAUAUAGUGUACUUACUUUGAUUUGAAGUUUUGAAUUUCUGCCAUGUCAUGAUCAAAUAAGAUUUGAGAACCACCUUCUAGGUUAGUUACAUAGUUGAAGCCACCUAUUUAAGAAACAUAAAAUGUUACCAUACUAAAGAAAUAAUUUAGAGAUUAUAAUCUAGAAAAUCAUAUUGCUAACCUUCUCCCCACACGAUACUCCAUGACCUCAAAACACACAGAUCGACUUUAGCAGUUGAGGUACGGUAGUAAUUGUUCAAAGUCACGGCUUCCUUUCCAUAGGCAACACACUUGAUGUGCUUCAAGCUGUAACUACCAUAUUGUUAGCAACUUGAUGUAUAUGAAAAGCAUAGAUCUAUUUAGAAAUUAAAAUCAUGGUAUAAGUCAGAAGUUCAAACCCUAUGUUAACCAAAUAAAACUCCAUCCUGGUCGUCUGAUAAGAAUAAAUCUCGCCAGGUCCUAGAUCUCCAAUUUGUUGCAACUCCCCCACAGCAACUAUAGCUCCACAAAGGUCUAUAAACAUAAUGGAAAGUAUAUUAAAAUUGUUAGGUCGACCAUGUUAGAAGACACUUACACAUAAUCUAUCAUAAUAUAAAUGAAAAUAUAUACUAACUUACCAAUAGAAUACAUUGGAUGCAAUAGACCUUUGAGUACAGAACUGAAGUUGGCAAGGCAAAGAAAAUUUGAAGCAAUGAUGGGUUCAAUCUUUGUAAGAACUGUUGUGUCUGUGAACUUAAUAUUGUAUUUGCUCCUUGUUGUUCUUAUCAACGCAAAAGAAGGCCUUAAUUUGAAAUUAUAUAUCUCAAACCAAUCACCUUCUUCAAGAUAGAUUCCUUUAGGAAGAUAAACAUCAUCCGGCAAAGUUGCUUCCAUUGUAAAUCCCUGCAGAUAUUUAUAAACAAUAAGUUUUAAUUAUAUUUUUAUAUUAGAUCUAAUAAUAUUUGAAAAGGAUAGCUUACUUUCUCAUCUCCUAAUACCAUUACACAAUGCUGGGGUAUUCCUCCUCUCAUGGUAUUCCAUUUGCUGACGACCUUAACACGUAUGGCAUGUGUAGGUGUCAAUGGCUGCAACUGAGAAAGGAAAAAAUACUCUGCCAUCGAGAAAAAACAAAGUAAGUUUCUAGUCUAUUCUAUGGUCUAUGAUGGAGAAGUUUAUGUAAAAUGUACUUUGCUUUAUAUACUGUUAGGUUCAUUGCGAUAAAAUAUUUCAGUGAACCAAAUAUGGGUAUGUUAGCAUAAUCAUAAAUAUUGUAUAUAUAUACAUACCAUUCUUCUGUUCGUCUGAUUUAUUAAAAAUACGAUGAAUAUAUGUCCUUUAAUUACUAACUAUAUAGUUAUGGAGGUUGUUUAGUUUCAAGAAACUAUAUAUAUAUUCUUUACUUUCUUCUCAUCAGAAACAUAUAUAACUUACGAUCCUAUAUAAUAGGGGUGGGCGUUCGGAUACCCGUUCGGGUUCGGAUCGGGUAUUUCGGAUUUUCGGGUAUUUCGGUAUAGAGGUGUAGAACCCGUUCGGGUAUUUCUGUACUUCGGGUCGGGUUCGGGUAUUUUUAGUUCGGUUUCGGUUAUUUCGGAUCGGGUUCGGAUAUUUAGAUUUUGAAAAAAAAAAAUUAAAAUUUUCAUUUUUCAAAUUUCUUGUAUUUAAAUAUAUAACUUUCACUUAACUAUUUUUUGUAUUUUUAAUAGAUUGAAUGGUUAAUAGAUUUGGACAUAACAUUUUCAAACUAAAAAGACAUUAAUUUGGUUAUUGUUUUUAAAUUUUGGAUGUAAUUUUUUGUUAAUUGUUGAAAUAAAAAGUUUGACAUGUAUUUUAAGUGCAUAGCAAAUCAUCUUCUACGUAAUUGUAUGUAUAUCAUAUGAAUUUAAAAUAUGUGUAGUAUCAAUAUAAAUAUUUUAUAUAAAAUGAAAGAUGUAAAUUAAAAAUAUAAGGUUAAUUAUACAUAUGUUCGGUUAUCUUCGGAUAUCCAUUCGGGUUCGGAUAUUACCCGUUCGGGUUCGGAUAUCCAAUCUCUCCUAAUUUAAUACCCGUUCGGAUAUUUUGCUAUUUCGGUUCGGAUUUCAGUUCGGGUUUUUUGGAUCGGGUUCGGGUGCCACUUCGGAUUUCGGGUAAAGUGCCCACCCCUACUAUAUAAUAUAACAUAUACAGGCUAACGUUAAGAAUCUCACAAUUUUAUGGAAGGAAAAAUAUAUAUCAAAUUUAGUGCGUGGCCGCAAAGUUUGACAUUUUUAAUUAACUAUUUUAGCUUUCAUUUUAUUUGUUACAGGAAAAGCGGGGGCGCAGAAUAUGAAAUUCAGGUUAACAAAUCCGACCGGGAGGCUGUUAGUGGGCUUUUAUUUAGGUUAGUAACGUUAUGAGGACAUUCACAAAAGUCCAUUAAAUAAAUAGAUAUGUCGUGAUUGCUUAUAUGUUUAGAAUGCUAGACUUGCUAAGUUGCAUUGAAGUAGAUAAGCUUAUAACAAUAGGUUCUAUUGGAUAGUAUAAGUAGAAUUGAUAGACUUGAAAUGAAAAAUGUCAAAAGCGUAGUCCUCCUCUCACUUUGCUUCCUAGAAGUCUGUCAUCGUCGCACCUCUGCAAAAAUAAUUUAGUUACUAGGUUAAGACCCGCGCCUUGCGCGGAAUGAACAUUAUAUAUAUAAAUUAUUUUAUUUAUUAUAUGUUUAUAACAUAUUUUAAAUAUAAAUAUAUAUUGAAUAAUUAAAAAGGUCAUUAUCUACUAUUUAUAUAAUUAAAUUGGUGCGAAUAUAUAAAUAAAUUUAAUAAAUCGAAAAAAUAUUUUUUUUUAUUUGAUAUGAUAAAUAAUUAAAUUUAAAUGAUAGUAACAUAUAUAUGGUAUAUGUUAAUAUUAAUAUUUAUUAGAUGAUGUUUUUUGCUCAUAUUUUUUUUUAUCAUUUUUUAUCUGUUAUAGCAAAAAAUCUAAAUUAGUGAUAACAAAAUUUUCACUUUAGGAAUAAUGGUUUAAGUAAUUUAUAAUAUUUUAAAAAUUAAGUUGUCAAUAUUUUUUCAAAAUUUUUAUCAAAAAAAUAUUCAAAGUAAAGUUCAAAAUUACGAUAUUUAUGUAUUUUUAUAUGGCAUAUAGUUUAAUUUAAAAUGAUACAUAUAUUUAUAUAUAUUUUAUUUUUGAUACUUAUUAAAUGAGACUUUCAACUUAUAUUAUUUUUCAGUUAUUUGUAUCAUGUCAUAACAAAAGUUUUAAAUCAUAGAUCACAAAAUUUGAAUGUAAAACUUUUAACAGUUUUAGUAAUUUAUACUCGUUUUUAAAAAUUCAAAAUAUAAUAUAUAAAUAUUUUUUUUAAUUUUUAUUAUAUGGUUACUAUGAUUGUUUAAUUUAUUUUAAUAGCUUAAAAUUAAACAAAUAUAAUUAUAAUACACACUUAUUUUUAUCAAAUCUUUAUUAUUCAAAACAUUAAUUGUCAUAUAUACUUUAGCCACAUUAGGCAAUUCCGUAAUCUUAUUUAAGGAAAUAAUGAAUCACAUUAAUAAUGUAUUUAUUGUGGUUUAAUAAAAAGCUUAUUAUAUAUUUAAAUGGACCAACAUAUUUCUCUAAGGAUUCUAAGAAUCAUUAUAGUGAUGCCACGUGGCUACAAAAAAAUGUUGUAAUGCUUCUCAAAUAAUAUAUAGGGGAUUGAUCAUUGUCUUGUUCGUCGAGGUUAACACGCAAAAUGAUGCAUAAGGUUUAACGUUUAUUAAUUUGUAUACUAAUAUUUAUCUUAAGAUUAUUCAUGCAUACAAAUCUAUACAAUAAAGAGAAGACAAAAAAAAUACAACACAUGCGCGAGUCCGGGAGAGGACAUAUAUAGUGUCUCAAACUCUCAGUUUUAUUCUAACCUAAACUUGGACCCUAUAAUAGCGAAAAUAUACAUUCACAUUAUUUUCAUACGACUUUCUUUGGAUUUUGGAUGGGAACAUGUGAAUAAUUAAGUAAUUAACUAUACAAAACCUAACUGACUUGAACUUAAUUAUCUUUUCUUGACUUGGACGUAUCCCCACAUAUACUAUAGACCCCUAGACUAAUGCGUAAUACUUGGAAAACAUGGUGCACCCUUGCUGAGUUUAUAUUUGCAUGCAUGUAUGUACAUGUAUAUAUGCCACGUAUGCAUAAAACAUGACACUAAUUAAUGCGUGUGUGUUGUGACUCAUCUCCGUAGAGUUUCCAUUAUGUCAUGUGGUGAGGAGAGAGUCAAAACCCAAAAUCAUGUACACCAAAGUCUUGGCAAUAAUCCAGAAACGUC
rnacentral:lncRNA from 1 species